rnacentral:rRNA from 1 species
UGGGCGGGACGGGGUGGAGUAACGCGUGGGUAACCUGCCUCAUACGAGGGGGUAACGGUUAAAAAUGACUGCUAAUACCGCAUAAGCGCACAGUACCGCAUGGUACGGUGUGAAAAACUCCGGUGGUAUGAGAUGGACCCGCGUCUGAUUAGCUAGUUGGUGGGGUAACGGCCCACCAAGGCGACGAUCAGUAGCCGACCUGAGAGGGUGACCGGCCACAUUGGGACUGAGACACGGCCCAG